rnacentral:rRNA from 1 species
GUAGGUGGCAAGCGUUGUCCGGAAUUAUUGGGCGUAAAGCGCGCGCAGGCGGUUCUUUAAGUCUGAUGUGAAAGCCCACGGCUCAACCGUGGAGGGUCAUUGGAAACUGGAGAACUUGAGUACAGAAGAGGAAAGCGGAAUUCCACGUGUAGCGGUGAAAUGCGUGGAGAUGUGGAGGAACACCAGUGGCGAAGGCGGCUUUCUGGUCUGUAACUGACGCUGAGGCGCGAAAGCGUGGGGAGCAAACAGGAUUAGAUACCCUGGUAGUCCACGCCGUAAACGAUGAGUGCUAAGUGUUAGGGGGUUUUCCGCCCCCCUUAGUGCUGCAGCUAACGCAUUAAGCACUCCGCCUGGGAGUACGGCCGCAAGGCUG